rnacentral:tRNA from 7 species
GGAGUGGUAGUUCAGUUGGUUAGAAUACCGGCCUGUCACGCCGGUGGUCGCGGGUUCGAGCCCCGUCCACUCCGCCA